CUGGGAGAUAUUUUAGUGGUGGUGGCAAGGGGGUGCUGGAGUGUUUUCUUCAUUGCUGGUGAAAUCUUGGAACUACUGCCUUGUAGAGGUUGAGUAGACUUUCAAAGGUCUUUCUUCUCCGUGCUGUUACUCAAAGGUCAAGAGAUUUGCUUGGGUGGAGCCCACCAGCUUGACUUCUGGGAAGAAGUGAGUGAUGGUUGUGCCUGCAAAGACUAUAGCAGUGCACCUGGCUUUGGGCUGACUAGCCCCUGGUAAUACCACACUGCCUGUAUUAAACACACCAUGAAGCAGAUAGAGGAGAAACAAAUUCAUAUUUCCCACUGGCAGAUUAAGGCACUUUACCAUCCUGAAAUUAUCCCUGUUUUCUUUUGUUCGAAAUAUAUUACAUUUGAUACAGUUUUUCUUCAUGGCUGUGAAAGAUGGACAUACCCAUUGCAGGGAUAGGUUGUCCCAAGGACUGGUGUGGCAUUGAUACCUUCUGUGGAGGCAAUUGGGCAUGACCUGUCACUGUUUCUGAAAAAAAUUACUCCAAUUCUGACAUCCUAGAGAUGGUAUUUCAGAGACAGGAUGUACUUUUUUUUUGGGUGGUGUUGGCUAAAUGUAAGGUUUCAAAUGUGUUGGAUUUUAAAAAAAUACAAACAGCAACAGCGGAAUUGACCAGAUUAUUUUCCUUAUUAUUCUCUUUUAAAAGUAAGAUGAGCCCUGGCCCUUCUGCCCACCCUCUGAGAAUAUGCUCCCUCCGCGUAUAUAUUUACAUAUAUAUAUGUGUGUAUAUAUAUAUAUAUAUAUAGAGAGAGAGAGAGAGUGUGUCCUUAUUAAACCACAUGCUUAUUAAACUACAUAGUAAAAAAGCAAAA
rnacentral:lncRNA from 1 species